rnacentral:rRNA from 1 species
UAGUCCACGCCCUAAACGAUGUGUACUAGAUCGCAGCUGCUCUGACGUAGUUGUGGUUGAAGCAAAAGUAUUAAGUACACCGCCUGGGGAGUACGGUCGCAAGGCUAAAACUCAAAGGAAUUGACGGGGGCUCACACAAGCGGUGGAGCAUGUGGCUUAAUUCGAAGCAACGCGAAGAACCUUAUCCUGGGUUUGACAUGUACGGAUUAUUGAUCCGAAAGGUGAUAGACACUACUUGUAGUGGAACGUACACAGGUGCUGCAUGGCUGUCGUCAGCUCGUGCUGUGAAGUGUCGGGUUAAGUCCCUUAACGAGCGAAACCCCUGCCGUUAGUUGCUAACAGGUUAUGCUGAGGACUCUAGCGGGACUGCCGGUGUCAAACCGGAGGAAGGUGGGGAUGACGUCAAGUCCUCAUGGCCUUUAUGCCCAGGGCUGCACACGUGCUACGAUGCGGUAUACAAUGCGAAGCGAGACCGUAAGGUGGAGCAAAUCGCAAAAAGUACCGCCC